rnacentral:tRNA from 2 species
GGGCGAUUAGCUCAGUUGGCUAGAGCAACUCGUUUACACCGAGUAGGUCACUGGUUCGAGUCCAGUAUCGCCCA